rnacentral:rRNA from 1 species
GACGAACGCUGGCGGCGUGCUUAACACAUGCAAGUCGAACGGAAAGGCCCUGCUUUUGUGGGGUGCUCGAGUGGCGAACGGGUGAGUAACACGUGAGUAACCUGCCCUUGACUUUGGGAUAACUUCAGGAAACUGGGGCUAAUACCGGAUAUGAGCUCCUGCUGCAUGGUGGGGGUUGGAAAGUUUCGGCGGUUGGGGAUGGACUCGCGGCUUAUCGGCUUGUUGGUGUGGUAGUGGCUUACCAAGGGUUUGACGGGUAGGCGGCCUGAGAGGGUGACCGGCCACAAUGGGACUGAGAGACGGACCAGAAUCGUAUGGGAGGCAGCAGGGGGGAAUAUUGCACAAUGGGCGGAAGCCUGAUGCAGCAACGCCGGGUGCGGGAUGACGGCCUUCGGGUUGUAAACAGAUUUCGCCUGUGACGAAGCGUGAGUGACGGUAAUGGGUAAAGAAGCACCGGCUAACUACGUG